AGAGUUUGAUCAUGGCUCAGGAUGAACGCUGGCGGCGUGGAUAAGGCAUGCAAGUCGAAUGGGUUUAGACCCAUGGCAAACGGGUUCGGAUAACAUAGGAAUUUGCCCCGAAGUCGCGGAUAAUCUGGAGAAAUCCAGGAUAAUACGCGAUAUGUUCUACGGAAUAAAGAUUUAUCGCUUCGGGAGAAGCCUGUGUCCUAUCAGCUAGUUGGUGAGGUAAUAGCUCACCAAGGCUAUGACGGGUAGGGGGUGUGAGAGCACGGCCCCCAACAUUGGAACUGAGACACUGUCCAAACACCUACGGGUGGCUGCAGUCGAGAAUAUUCCACAAUGGGCGAAAGCCUGAUGGAGCGACGCCGCGUGCAGGAUGACGGUCUUCGGAUUGUAAACUGCUUUUCUCAGGGAAGAACGUAAGUGACUGUACCUGAGGAAUAAGAGGUUACUAACUCUGUGCCAGCAGUAGCGGUAAUACAGAGACCUCAAGCGUUAUCCGGAUUUAUUGGGCGUAAAGCGCAGGUAGGCGGGUCUGUUAGUCGUGUGUUAAAGCUUGGGGCUUAACCCCAAAGAUGCACACGAAACGGCAGAUCUGGAGGAUGUGAGAGAUCAGUGGAAUUUAUGGUGUAGUAGUGAAAUGCGUUGAUAUCAUAAAGAACACCCAAGGCGAAGGCAACUGAUUGGCACAUUUCUGACGCUGAGCUGCGAAAGCGUGGGUAGCGAAUGGGAUUAGAUACCCCAGUAGUCC
rnacentral:rRNA from 1 species